rnacentral:rRNA from 1 species
GACACGGUCCAAACUCCUACGGGAGGCAGCAGUGAGGAAUAUUGGUCAAUGGACGAGAGUCUGAACCAGCCAAGUCGCGUGAGGGAAGACUGCCCUAUGGGUUGUAAACCUCUUUUAUAAGGGAAGAAUAAGUUCUACGUGUAGAAUGAUGCCUGUACCUUAUGAAUAAGCAUCGGCUAACUCCGUGCCAGCAGCCGCGGUAAUACGGAGGAUGCGAGCGUUAUCCGGAUUUAUUGGGUUUAAAGGGUGCGUAGGCGGUUUAUUAAGUUAGUGGUUAAAUAUUUGAGCUAAACUCAAUUGUGCCAUUAAUACUGGUAAACUGGAGUACAGACGAGGUAGGCGGAAUAAGUUAAGUAGCGGUGAAAUGCAUAGAUAUAACUUAGAACUCCGAUAGCGAAGGCAGCUUACCAGACUGUAACUGACGCUGAUGCACGAGAGCGUGGGUAGCGAACAGGAUUAGAUACCCUGGUAGUCCACGCCGUAAACGAUGCUCACUGGUUCUGUGCGAUAUAUUGUACGGGAUUAAGCGAAAGUAUUAAGUGAGCCACCUGGGGAGUACGUCGGCAACGAUGAAACUCAAAGGAAUUGACGGGGGCCCGCACAAGCGGAGGAACAUGUGGUUUAAUUCGAUGAUACGCGAGGAACCUUACCCGGGCUUGAAAGUUACUGACGAUUCUGGAAACAGGAUUUCCCUUCGGGGCAGGAAACUAGGUGCUGCAUGGUUGUCGUCAGCUCGUGCCGUGAGGUGUCGGGUUAAGUCCCAUAACGAGCGCAACCCUUACCGUUAGUUGCUAGCAUGUAAUGAUGAGCACUCUAACGGGACUGCCACCGUAAGGUGAGAGGAAGGCGGGGAUGACGUCAAAUCAGCACGGCCCUUACACCCAGGGCUACACACGUGUUACAAUGGCCGGUACAGAGGGCCGCUACCAGGUGACUGGAUGCCAAUCUCAAAAGCCGGUCGUAGUUCGGAUUGGAGUCUGUAACCCGACUCCAUGAAGUUGGAUUCGCUAGUAAUCGCGCAUCAGCCAUGGCGCGGUGAAUACGUUCCCGGGCCUUGUACACACCGCCCGUCAAGCCAUGGGAGCCGGGGGUACCUGAAGUGCGUAACCGCGAGGAGCGCCCUAGGGUAAAACUGGUGACUGGGGCUAAGUCGUAACAAGGUAGCCGUACCGGAAGGUGCGGCUG